AACGAACGCUGGCGGCAGGCCUAACACAUGCAAGUCGAGCGAGGACUUCGGCCCUAGCGGCGGACGGGUGAGUAACGCGUGGGAACGUGCCCUUUGGUUCGGAAUAGCCCCGGGAAACUGGGAGUAAUACCGGAUAAGCCCUACGGGGGAAAGAUUUAUCGCCAAAGGAUCGGCCCGCGUUGGAUUAGGUAGUUGGUGGGGUAAUGGCCUACCAAGCCGACGAUCCAUAGCUGGUUUGAGAGGAUGAUCAGCCACACUGGGACUGAGACACGGCCCAGACUCCUACGGGAGGCAGCAGUGGGGAAUUUUGGACAAUGGACGCAAGUCUGAUCCAGCCAUGCCGCGUGCGGGAUGAAGGCCUUAGGGUUGUAAAGCUCUUUCGCGCGCGACGAUAAUGACGGUAGCGCGAGAAGAAGCCCCGGCUAACUUCGUGCCAGCCGCCGCCGUAA
rnacentral:rRNA from 1 species